GUAGUACUCCCUCCGUCCCAAAAUUCUUGUCUUACAUUUGUUUAGAUACGGAUGUAUCUAACACUAAAAUGUAACUAGAUACAUCCGUAUUUAGACAAAGUUAAGACAAGAAUUUUGGGACGGAGGGAGUACAAA
rnacentral:pre_miRNA from 1 species